rnacentral:rRNA from 1 species
AACGAACGCUGGCGGCGCGCCUAAUACAUGCAAGUCGAGCGAGAAGACGUAGCAAUACGUUUGUAAAGCGGCGAACGGGUGAGGAAUACAUGGGUAACCUACCCUCGAGUGGGGAAUAACUAGCCGAAAGGUUAGCUAAUACCGCGUACGCUCCUCGGACUUCGGUUCAGGGAGGAAAGCGAUACCGUGGGUAUCGCGCUCUUGGAUGGGCUCAUGUCCUAUCAGCUUGUUGGUGAGGUAACGGCUCACCAAGGCUUCGACGGGUAGCUGGUCUGAGAGGACGAUCAGCCACACUGGCACUGCGACACGGGCCAGACUCCUACGGGAGGCAGCAGUAAGGAAUAUUGCGCAAUGGGCGAAAGCCUGACGCAGCGACGCCGCGUGGGGGAUGAAGGUCUUCGGAUUGUAAACCCCUUUCGGGAGGGAAGACGGAACGAGCAAUCGUUCGGACGGUACCUCCAGAAGCAGCCACGGCUAACUUCGUGCCAGCAGCCGCCGUAA